rnacentral:rRNA from 1 species
GACGAGCCGUGCGAACGUUGUUCGGAAUCACUGGGCUUUAAAGGGCGCGAGGCGGCUCGCGAGGUCGGGGGGUGAAAUCCCACGGCUUAACCGUGGAAGUGCCUUCGAUACCGGCGGGCUCGAGGAAGGUAGGGGUGCGCGGAACUUCUGGGUGGAGCGGUGAAAUGCGUUGAUAUCAGAAGGAACGCCGGCGGCGAAAGCGGCGCACUGGAUCUUUUCUGACGCUGAGGCGCGAAGCCAGGGGAGCAAACGGG